CAUCAGUCUAAAAGUAGUAUGACUGAGAAGAUAUUUUCCUCACUUAUUAAAAAGAUGAACAUAUGUGAUGGAAUCUAAAAUCUAUUUAUUCAUCUAGAGGAAAAAAUGGUAGAGAAUAGUCAGAAAAAUCCUUUAAAAGAAAGAGUGAUAGGGAUAGGAGCUAAUCUGCCCUUCUACAGAUUUAAAAAUCUUGGCCAGCACGGUGGCUCAUGCCUGUAAUCCCAGCACUCUGGGAGGCCAAGGCAGGCAGAUCACCUGAUGUCAGGAGUUCAAGACCAGCCUGGCCAACAUGAUGAAACCCCUCUCUACAGAAAUACAAAAAUUAGCAAGGCAUGAUGGCAGGUGCCUGUAAUCCUAUCUAUUUGGGAGACUGAAGCAGAAGAAUCACUUGAACCCUGGAGGUGGAGGUUGCAGUGAGCCAAGAUUGCACCAUUGCACUCUAGUCUGGGCAACAGUUCAAUACUCUAUCUCUCUCUCUCUGUCUCCUCUCUCUCUCUCUCUCUCUCUCUCUCUCUCUCUCUCUCUCUCUCUCUCUGUAUAUAUGUGUAUGUAUCACAGAAUGAUAGUAAUUUAAGUGACAUACUGUUAGGAAGCAGAUACACAAUUUUUGAAUGACCAAAUACCAGGAACAAUAUGUUUGACAUUUAUCAUCUAUAUAGUUGAAUCUUCACAGUUAUCCCAUUUGACACUGAGGAAAUUGAUCCUUAGAAAAUAUAACUAGCUCGGGGUGGUAGAUAUUAUUAUUUGCUUACAGUUCUUCAUUAUUUUGUCCUUGACAAGCCUUCUCUGUGGAGACAAUGCACUCUCCUUUCCCAUUCACUUAGGGUAGAUUGGGUGAUCUUCAGACCAAUGGAGUGUGGAUGGAAGAAAGAAUGUGUUGGAGAUGAGGUUUAAGACUAUGCUCCUGGCAACCAUCAUUCUACUUGAUGUCUCUAUAAUCUGACUACUUUAGGUACCUCAGAUGAAUGGAAUUAUGCAGUAUUUGUCCUUUUGUGUGUACGACUAAUUUGACAGGCAGUAUGAUAAGGAACAAUCUGAAUGACAUGUAAACAGGAGGGGGUAAAUUCCAAGCACAGCCUGAAUGAGAAGUACAACUCAUUUCCCAAAACCCAGAUGCGUUUUGAACACAUCUCUGCAGUCUCCAUGUGAAACCAGGAGCUGUUCCCAAAGGAGAAAACACUGCCCUCCAGUGGUCUUCAAUGAAGAAAUGGAAAUAGUUUCAGGUGGAAACCAGGCUUCUUGGAAGACUUCAAACUAUGCCAAAUGGUCUGAUUUCACCAUAGAG